rnacentral:rRNA from 1 species
GUCCUCUUGAGAUAUAAUAAGAGGUCUGACCUGCCCAGUGAAUUAUUUUUAACGGCCGCGGUAUUCUUGACCGUGCAAAGGUAGCAUAAUCAUUAGUCUUUUAAUAGAAGGCUGGUAUGAAAGGUUUGACGAAGUGUUAGCUGUCUCAUUUAAUUUAAUAUUAGAAUUUAAUUUUUUAGUCAGAAAGCUAAAAAUUUUGUUGGUAGACGAGAAGACCCUAUAGAGUUUUAUAAUUUAUUUUAUAUAUUGCAUAUAAUUUUUUAUAUAAUCUAUAUUAUUUUGUUGGGGUGACAAAAAUAUAUAAUUAACUUUUUUAUUUAUCUAUCAUUGAUUCAUGUAUAUUAGAUCCAGUCUUAUUGAUUGUUAGAACAAGUUACC